AUAUUCUUUAACGUCCAAAGUUCGAUUACAGCUGACCAUAACUCUGAAGACUGAUCAUCACAAUGAAAUUUCUGUGGAUGUGUUUGAUCGUUGCAACCGUAUUUGGUACUAAUUUGUGUGCUCCUUUGGAAAACGGAAUAUGUUCACCGUGGUUGGGACCGUGUCAGAUAACUGAACAAUGUUGCCAAAAUCUUACCUGUUUGUCGUACACAAGUAAAUGUGUGCUAAGUGAUGGUGUCUAUAACACAGUCAACUAUACAAUCCCACUUUGAGACGGACCGUAUCCUCCAGGCUACCCAAACGAAACGACCACCCAAUUCGUUUUCGUUUGAUUUCGUAAUGAUUUCUGUCCCAAUAUUUCCAUUCUAAUAACACCUUUGUAUCGGUGAUAUCAUUGAUGUAGUAAAUAAAGUUCUAUAAUAUAAAACUAUAAAAUACA
rnacentral:lncRNA from 1 species